rnacentral:rRNA from 1 species
AUUGAACGCUGGCGGCAGGCUUAACACAUGCAAGUCGAGCGAGCGGCUGACGGGUGAGUAAUGUCUGGGAAACUGCCUGAUGGAGGGUGAUAACUACUGGAAACGGUAGCUAAUACCGCAUACCCUCAGAUGUGCCCAGAUGGGUUUAGCUAGUAGGUGGGGUAAUGGCUCACCUAGGCGACGAUCCCUAGCUGGUCUGAGAGGAUGACCAGCCACACUGGAACUGAGACACGGGCCAGACUCCUACGGGAGGCAGCAGUGGGGAAUAUGGCACAAUGUGCUCAAGCGUGAUGCAGCCAUGCCGCGUGUGUGAAGAAGGCCUUCGGGUUGUAAAGCACUUUCAGCGAGGAGGCGUUACUCGCAGAAGAAGCACCGGCUAACUCCGUGCCAGCAGCCGCGGUAAUAC